CAGCAGCAGUGAGGAAGCUGCAGGGAGUGGAAGGGUGCCGAUGCAGUGCCAGGGAAGGCGAAGUCGUUCGCAAUGAAUCCAUGGCAGCUUCGAUCGAGCGGUGAGCUGGAGCACCUACUCACAGGCCACUCCUUCAUGUGACUGAACAGAGACCUUUCCCAGCAAUCGCCAAGGAGAGCAGAGCCCUGGAUUUACCUCCCGCGCAGCCGGGCACCCCCAGCGCAGGCACUGCGAGGGGGAAGAGGAAGAGCCUGUCCGGGUCAGGCCAGACCCUCCAGGGCUGGUACGGCUGGUCCAUCCACAAGCACAGCGUCUGGGGUGAGGGGGUGGGAAGGGGCGGGCAGCUGCCGGGCACAGAGAAGGGGGUGUCAGCCCGUGAAUGUAAGGAAGGGCCUGGGAGGCAGCUGCUGGGACUGGCUCCUUGUGGCCUCUUUGGUGUUCCUCCUUCCGUAACAACCCUGUGACCCCCCGGUUGUGUAUGGACAAAUUUAAGUUGGAGUUACAUUCUUUACUUUCUUCUUAUUUUUUGAAUUUAUUUUCUUUUCUUCUUUUAGAAUUGUAUUUCUUUCUUGUUCUUUUCUUUAUUUUUUUUCUCUCUUUCCUUCUUUUCCUGUUUUAAAACUGAAUGGCACGAAAUCGUUUUUCCUCAACUCGGAGAUUCCUGUAUGGAGAAAAUCAAUUUCUAUAUUUGCAAUAAAUUUCUUAUUUAAAAAAAACA
rnacentral:lncRNA from 1 species